rnacentral:snoRNA from 1 species
GCGAAUGAUUAUACCUUUUUAACCCUUAGUUGCUCUUGCAGCUAUGACGAUUCAAAAGCAACAACAACACUCUAAUUUUUUGCUGACG